rnacentral:rRNA from 1 species
GAGUUUGAUCCUGGCUCAGGAUGAACGCUGGCGGCGUGCCUAACACAUGCAAGUCGAGCGAAGCACAUAUGCGGAGGCCUCCGGGCCAAAGGAUGUGUGACUGAGCGGCGGACGGGUGAGUAACGCGUGGGUAACCUGCCCUAUACAGGGGGAUAACAGCUAGAAAUGGCUGCUAAUACCGCAUGAGCGCACAGCUCCGCAUGGAGCGGUGUGAAAAACUCCGGUGGUAUAGGAUGGACCCGCGUCCGAUUAGCUAGUUGGUGGGGUAAAGGCCCACCAAGGCGACGAUCGGUAGCCGACCUGAGAGGGUGACCGGCCACAUUGGGACUGAGACACGGCCCAAACUCCUACGGGAGGCAGCAGUGGGGGAUAUUGCACAAUGGGGGGAACCCUGAUGCAGCGACGCCGCGUGAGUGAAGAAGUAUCUCGGUAUGUAAAGCUCUAUCAGCAGGGAAGAAGCAAGACGGUACCUGACUAAGAAGCCCCGGCUAACUACGUGCCAGCAGCCGCGGUAAUACGUAGGGGGCGAGCGUUAUCCGGAUUUACUGGGUGUAAAGGGAGCGUAGACGGCAUGGCAAGUCUGGAGUGAAAGCCCGGGGCCCAA